GGAGUAUGGACCGUGUCUCAGUUCCAUUGUGGCCGUUCAUCCUCUCAGACCGGCUACCGAUCGUCGGUUUGGUGCGCCUUUACCACACCAACUGCCUAAUCGGACGCAGGCUCCUCGCAAAGCGAUAAAUCUUUAGUGCAACUGUCAUGCGACAACUGCACAACAUCCGGUAUUAGCGUCCCUUUCGGAACGUUGUCCCCGACUUUGCGGCAGAUUACCUGCGCUUUACUCACCCGUUCGCCACUAAACCCGAAGGUUCCGUUCGACUUGCAUGUGUUAAGCACGCCGCCAGCGUUCGUCCUCGAGCCACUGAUCAAACUACU
rnacentral:rRNA from 1 species